rnacentral:tRNA from 1 species
GGGAUUGUGGCUCAAUGGUAGAGUGCUUGCCUAGCAUGCAUGAGACCCUGGGUGUGAGUCUCAGCACCA